rnacentral:rRNA from 1 species
UCCCAUCCCGAACACAGAAGUUAAGCUCUGCAGAGCCGAUGGUACUUGGACCGCAGGGUCCUGGGAGAGUAGGACGUCGCUAGGC